AUUGAACGCUGGCGGCAGGCCUAACACAUGCAAGUCGAACGAGUGGCGGACGGGUGAGUAAUGUAUGGGAAACUGCCAGAUGGAGGGGGAUAACUAAUGGAAACGGUAGCUAAUAACGCAUACAAUCAGAUGUGCACAGAUGGGAUUAGCGAGUUGGUGGGGUAACGGCUCACCAAGGAGACGAUCCCUAGCUGGUCUGAGAGAAUGACCAGCCCAACUGGAACUGAGACACUGUCCAGACGCCUACGGGAGGCAGCAGUGGGGAAUAUUGCACAAUGGGCGCAAGCCUGAUGCAGCCAUGCCGCGUGUAUGAAGAAGGCCUUCGGGUUGUAAAGUACUUUCAGCGGGUAGGCGUUACCCGCAGAAGAAGCACCGGCUAACUCCGUGCCAGCAGCCGCGGUAAUUC
rnacentral:rRNA from 1 species